rnacentral:tRNA from 1 species
GGUAUUCCAGGAUCUAAACUUGAUCAGGGAACUUCCCAACCUUCAACUAACUUGGAAUUGAUUGAUAGUGCA